UACGUAGGGGGCAAGCGUUGUCCGGAAUCAUUGGGCGUAAAGAGCGUGUAGGCGGCUCGAUAAGUCCGCUGUGAAAGUCCAGGGCUCAACCCUGGAAGGCCGGUGGAAACUGUCGGGCUAGAGUCCGGAAGAGGCGAGUGGAAUUCCCGGUGUAGCGGUGAAAUGCGCAGAUAUCGGGAGGAACACCAAUGGCGAAGGCAGCUCGCUGGGACGGUACUGACGCUGAGGAGCGAAAGCAUGGGGAGCGAACAGG
rnacentral:rRNA from 1 species